rnacentral:lncRNA from 1 species
GCAUUUCUAUGGAGGGCGCACAAUAGCAGAGGUCUGGCGUGUGGCGGUUUGCUGUAGGGACAAUCGAGGCUUUCUCUUCAUAGCAACACUGUCCACCUGCCGCCGGGUGGGGUGGGCAGGACCCCGCCGCGCGUGGGGGUCGCCGGGCUGCCUGGCGCGUGGGGUCGAGGCUGAGUGCCACUCCGUGGUCCCUGAGUGCACGCCCCCAGUACUGGCCCUGCUACAAGUAAUUCCCUUCCAUCCGUUCCUCGCACGGGUGCCGAACAGCCGCGCGAGUUGGGAAGGACGGAGAGCUGCUGUGCAGUCUUCGCGGCUGGACGCCCUGUGGCCGGGACCCCGCGGCUGCAGCCCCUGGAGCUUAGACGGAGUCUCGCUCGGUUGCCCAGGCUGGAGUGCGGUGGCACAAUCUCGGCUCACUGCAACCUCCGCCUCCCGGGUUCAAGCGAUCCUUCUGCUUCAGCCUCCCGAGUAGCUGGGACUACAGGGUGAAGCAUGAAUCUGCACAUGGGGAGGCUUCAGAGGACAACUGAGACAAGAAGCAGGAAGCUGAGAAAGGAGGACACCUCCCACACACACAUCUAGCAAAAGCUGGACAUUUCUGGUCAGUCAUCCUUAUGCAAAGACUUUCUGGAAGGAGCAGUUAUUCUUGGUAAGAAAUGAUUCAUGGCACCUGUCACAGUCCUAGGUAGUGACAGACACCAGCCUGCACUGUAGCUGAAAACCCCUGAGAAGCCACAGAUGUGCAGUCUUCCCAGCUUGACUACAUGCCCAAGUCUUCUGAACCUUAGUUUCCCAACCUAGGAAAUAAAAAUUGUGCCCUUUACCCCUCAUGAACCUUAUUGGGGUCUUAUAAGAUUGCUCCUGGUUGCCAUUUGGCCCACAGAUGGGUUUAGUUUGGUGGACAGUGUCCCGAAAGACUUACAAAUUCAGAUCUGACUUGUUCAUUUGUGUAGGGGAGAGUUGGUGGCACACAUCCUCUCUGUCACUGUAAGUAUGUUCCAAAUGUCACAUUAGGUCCACUGGCACGUGUAAGCCCUGUCUGGCAUUUGCCUGGUCCCUGCAGGCAUUUGGGUUGGCAGUAAACUUUCUUUUCUAACAGAUUUCUGGAAAUGUUUACAUGUAGCAUAUAAUAGAAUAAUAGAACCACAGAACUUCCACAGUAAAGCCUUCCUUCUUUUAUGUUCCAAAAGCUAAAAUGUACUAACAACCUCCAAAAGGCACUAUGACAUUGGAGUUUAAACUUUGUGGAGCAGGACUCAAAGCUGGACUUAGCUGCUUGCUAACUUUGACCUUGAGUGAAGAGUUAGCAGAUGAUUUAAAGUGUAAAGUAGAAAGAAUUCAUGCUGGUUAGCCCAUUAAAUACCCGUUAAUUAAGCUCUCCAAAAACGCCAUUCAAAAAUGUAUAUGAUAAUCAAAUAUUUAUUGCAAUGUUUCUUAAAAUAGUGAAAAAUUAGAAAACAUUAUAGGGGGCUAGUGUUAAAUCAUGGUGUAACCAGAAAUGAAACAUUAUGCAACCAUAAAAAGGAGUUCUGAAGAGUAGUUCCCGGCAUGAUAUAAUGUGAAAAAAAGCAAAAUACGAAAUUGUGCAAUUCUAAUUUUGCAAAAACUUUCAGCGUACACGACUAUCACUGUAUAAAGUCACAAAGUAGGAAUGGUGAUUGUAUCUUGGAGUGAUGAGAUUAUAAGUGAUUUUUAAUUUUCUUCACUAUGCUUUACUGCAAUUAAACAUUUACAAUUCAAUUUUAUUUAACAAAAAUAUAUAAAACUUCUCAAAUGGAGUAACUUCAGUACCAGACAUCCUCAACCUGACUGCUCUGGAGGUUAUUGUGCAGAGCAAUCUUUGACCAUAUGGUCACAGAUCCAGAAGCCAGACGUCUGUGGGGCUUUGCUCCUGAGACUGUGACCUUUGAUUCCUGCACUCCUCCUCUUGCCAUCUGACGCCGGUCUGCGCCUGUGACUGAGUGAAAAUCGUCAUAACUGUACUCGGAGGUUAACUCUGGCAUGACUGGGAUGGAAUCCCAGGCAACAUGCUGGAGGCAGGAAAGAAGGCCAGCCGGCAAGUCAGAACCAAACACCCUGGACGGCACCUUUCCUUACAAAUGCGGUUCACAGGACCCUUGGGGAUCCUCUGCGCACACUGAGGCAAGCAGCAAUGGAAGAAAUUAUCUUCCACUCCCUUCUUGUUGAAAAUGUCUGUUUUCCAGAAAUGAAUUACAGUAAUAGAUUAUGAAAAUUGUUUCCAUUGCCUACAUAACACAGCAGGGAAUUCUAAAAUUUCAAAACAUGUAAUAUACUCAACCUGUGCUUGAGACUGUAGGGUAUUAUUUAAUUUUUCAG